GACGAACCGUGCGAACGUUAUUCGGAAUCACUGGGCUUAAAGCGCGUGUAGGCGGGAGGGCACGUCCGUCGCUGAAAUCCCCCGGCUCAACCGGGGAACGGGCGCGGAUAUGACCUUCCUUGAGGGGCGUAGGGGGACCUGGAACUUCCGGUGGAGCGGUGAAAUGCGUUGAGAUCGGAAGGAACGCCCGUGGCGAAAGCGAGGUCCUGGACGCCUACUGACGCUGAGACGCGAAAGCCAGGGGAGCGAACGGG
rnacentral:rRNA from 1 species